AGGGUAGCAAUACCUGAGUACUGUGGCGCACGGGUGAGUAACACGUGAAUUAUCUACCUUCGAGUGGGGAAUAACUGCGGAGAAAUCUCAGCUAAUACCGCAUAACACUUACGAGUCAAAGCAGCAAUGCGCUUGAAGAGGAGUUCGCGGCAGAUUAGUUAGUUGGCGGGGUAAUGGCCCACCAAGACAGUGAUCGGUAUCCGGCCUGAGAGGGCGCACGGACACACUGGAACUGAAACACGGUCCAGACUCCUACGGGAGGCAGCAGUGGGGAAUUUUGCGCAAUGGGGGAAACCCUGACGCAGCAACGCCGCGUGGAGGAUGAAGUCUCUUGGGACGUAAACUCCUUUCGAUUGGGAAGAUAAUGACGGUACCAAUAGAAGAAGCCCCGGCUAACUUCGUGCCAGCAGCCGCGGUAAUACGAGGGGGGCAAGCGUUGUUCGGAAUUAUUGGGCGUAAAGGGCGCGUAGGCGGUUUGGCAAGUUUGGUGUGAAAUCUUCGGGCUCAACUCGAAGUCUGCAUCGAAAACUGCCGGGCUUGAGUAUGGGAGAGGUGAGUGGAAUUUCCGGUGUAGCGGUGAAAUGCGUAGAUAUCGGAAGGAACACCUGUGGCGAAAGCGGCUCACUGGACCA
rnacentral:rRNA from 1 species